rnacentral:ncRNA from 1 species
GUACUCAAAAGGUGGUGCCUGAUGACAAGUUUUAGUCUAAGGCUGAGAUGAUACACAUUGCACCAGUACGGGUAAUGCCGACGCUGGGAUUUUUGGUGACAUUUUAU